GACGAACGCUGGCGGCGUGCUUAACACAUGCAAGUCGAACGGAAAGGCCCUGCGUUUGUGGGGUUCUCGAUUGGCGAACGGGGGAGUAACACGUGUGUAACCUGCCCUUGUCUUUGGGAUAACUUCAGGAAACUGGGGCUAAUAUCGGAUAUGAUCUCCUGCUCCAUGUGGUUCGUUGGAGAGUUUCGGCGGUUGGGGAUGGACUCGCGGCUUAUCAGCUUGUUGGGGGGGUAGUGGCUUACGAAGGCUUUGACGGGUAGCCGGCCUGAGAGGGUGACCGGCCACAUUGGGACUGAGAUAGGGCGCAGACUCCUACGGGAGGCAGUAGUGGGGAAUAUUGCACAAUGGGCGGACGCCUGAUGCAGAAAUGCUGCGUGCGGGAUGACCGGCUUCGGGUUAUAAACCGCUUUCGAAUGUGACGAAGAGUGAGUGACGGUAAUGGAUAAAGAAGCACCGGCUAACUACGUG
rnacentral:rRNA from 1 species